rnacentral:rRNA from 1 species
GAUGAACGCUGGCGGCGUGCCUAAUACAUGCAAGUCGAACGCUGGAAAUCUAGCUUGCUAGAUUGAAGGAGUGGCGAACGGGUGAGUAAUACAUAAGCAACCUACCCACGAAGACUGGGAUAAUCUCUGGAAACGGGGACUAAUACCGGAUAGGUAAUCGGAAGGCAUCUUCUGAUUAUUAAAGGUUAAAAACACUGGUGGAUGGGCUUAUGGCGCAUUAGUUAGUUGGUGAGGUAACGGCCCACCAAGACGAUGAUGCGUAGCCGGCCUGAGAGGGUGAACGGCCACAUUGGGACUGAGACACGGCCCAGACUCCUACGGGAGGCAGCAGUAGGGAAUUUUCGGCAAUGGGGGAAACCCUGACCGAGCAACGCCGCGUGAGUGAUGACGGCCUUCGGGUUGUAAAGCUCUGUUGUAAGGGAAGAACGGUAGAUAGAGAAUAUCUAAGUGACGGUACCUUACCAGAAAGCCACGGCUAACUACGUG